CUAGGCUGUGAAGUGGGACUAUCCACCCGCAGGCAGCACAGAGGCAUUUAGAGCGGCGCUCAGCACAUAGGUCCUAACCUAGCUCGACCAGGAUUAGGGUUCUUAUCAAGAUCAGUCAUAUUGCUGCACGAGAGGCAAGGUGCUAGAGCUCAGCUGUGACCCAACAACAGUGGGAGUUGUAGUCUCUCUCUGGGCAGAAACGUUGCCAGACUCUGUUUAACACCCCUGGGCAGCAGGUGCUGGCACGGCUGAUACUCUCCAGUUCUCUACAAAGAGCAAAGCAGUCUGGUAGCUGGUGGUCCUGCUGCCAGAGAGCAAUGCAUUUCUCUUCAAGUGAAACAAUUGUUUCUUUUACAUUGUACCAACCAGUCUCCGGGCUCAGUACGGCACAGAAAUGCCUUUUAAUGCUGUGCAUGGAAGCCGGGACAGAGAGGACGCCAACAGAGAGCUGGCGCUGCUCUUCCCCAGUUUCAAGUUCUCAGAUAAAGACAAGGAAGCUCCACCGGGUGCUGAGGCUCAAACUAUGGUGGGCCCCGUGGAGGACCCUUGCAUGUCUGAGCGUAUCUGAGGACUGGAAUGCCGUGUUGUCUUCUGCCGGAAUCAAAGUCACAAGGCCACCAGAGGAGCCCUCAGUACACGCCGGUCGGCACAGAAGGCUGCAGAGGUGAUUCCAGAGCGCCAAUAUGUGCUUGGUUUAGCCCUAUUCUGUGGACAACGGAAACAACUGUCCAUACGUCUCUGCCUUAUUAAACAGUCUGUAGAACACACCCAACUCUAGUCACGGCAUUCUGCUGAGGCAUGGUGUAACCUCAGAAGACACUGGGUCUCUUCAACAAUAAAGCUUUGAUCCUAGUGUGGUACCUU